GCCAUAUGAUGUCAUAUAGAUUGCAGUAGCAUUUUUAUUUUUGGUGCAAAGAUGACCUCCUAUCUAUCACCCAAGUCUGAUGGCU